UGCUACCAAAUAUAACAAUAUGCAUUUCAUAAUUAUUACAAAAGUGUAUAAAUAAGGCAUAUUAAACACGUCUGUAAAAUCUCAAUGAGGACAUAGCAAGUUUUCAUUAGUCAUAGGGUACAUCUUACGAAAAAGGUCAGAAUAAUCUACAAGAGACACAUAUUUCAUGUUCAAAUUCACAACAUAACAUACAUAGGCAUUUCAUCAUUAAGUCCUUUAGGAAAUAAUGUCUGGAGGGUGAAAAUCCCAAAACAUUAUCUUAUACUCAGAUUAUCAUUAAUAUCUCCUUCCCUGUCUGAUAUUUUAUCUAUGUUACAGAUCAGACAUUAAUGUAUAUUUUAGAAAACAGCAAAGCCAAAACACUGCUAUGACUCUGAAAUAAUAAGUAGGCAUUUACAAUGUUGCUCCUCCUCUUCACAUAUUGUUGGUUUUUAAACACACCCACCAGGUUUCCUGUCAAAAAGAAAAACCUUGAGAUGCAUCAUUACCUGUAGGUCAUGUCAUGUACGUAUAGAAUGUGUCAGGUUAGGUUUUUGUACAGCGCUUGUAGGUUUCCUUUCACUGUGGGCAUCAGUGCACAGUAGUACAUAGCAGAGUCUUCCUCUUCAGCAGAGGAGAUCUCUAGAUCCACACGGUUCUUCUCAUGAUUUAGUUUGACUGACAGUCGAGGAUCCAGACCUGGAGCCCGUGAUGGAGACCCAACACCAUGCAGGAUAAGCAGGAUAUACUGAGGAGCUGAUCCAGGGUUCUGGAGAUACCAUUGAAGAGAGACUGCAGAUGAGUCAACAGAGUUGGCAGAAGGACCUGACCUGUCUACUGUGAUGUCAUACGGGAAACAUUGCUUGAAGGGCAUAUCUGUAAGAUAUGUAGACAGGAAUUAAUAGACAGGAAUUUUUGUUUUCAUCUUUAUAGCUAUAUUUACAGUUUAAACCUGCAACAUAUUCGGAUAACCGAAUGAGUUUCUGUCACUUUUUCAUUUGUUCAUUUGUUUCAACAAAUAAUUCACUGUUCAUUUCCAACCUACAUGUAUAUGUCUUGUCUAUUGAAGGUAACCAGAUAAUUGACAUGUUUCUCUUAGGGGAUGUCAGUGUUUUUAGUUCACAUUUUUGUACAUUUUUGUACAGGGUUUCAUUUCAUUGUGGGCUCCAGGGCACAGUAGUACAGAGUAGAGUCUAACACUUUAGCAGAGGAG
ensembl:lncRNA